rnacentral:rRNA from 1 species
ACCUGACUGCUAUCGGAUUGGUACUAAGCCAUGCGAGUCAUUGUAGCAAUACAAGGCGGACGGCUCAGUAACACGUAGUCAACCUAACUCGUGGACGUGGAUAUCCUCGGGAAACUGAGAAUAAACCACGAUAGAUCAUAGUGCCUGGAAUGGCUUAUGGUCCAAACAGUUUACUGCCAUGGGAUGGGACUGCGGCCUAUCAGCUUGUUGGUGAGGUAAUGGCCCACCAAGGCGAUUACAGGUACGGGCUCUGAGAGGAGAAGCCCGGAGAUGGGUACUGAGACACGGACCCAGGCCCUAUGGGGCGCAGCAGGCGAGAAACCUUAGCAAUGUGCGAAAGCACGACUGGGUCAGUCCGAGUGAUUCCUGAUAAAGGAGUCUUUUGCCUGUCCUAAAAGCACAGGUGAAUAAGGGGUGGGCAAGUCUGGUGUCAGCCGCCGCGGUAAUACCAGCACCUCGAGUGGUCAGGACGUUUAUUGGGCCUAAAGCAUCCGUAGCCGGCUCUGCAAGUCUUCGGUUAAAUCCACCUGCUCAACAGAUGGGCCGCUGGAGAUACUACAGAGCUAGGGAGUGGGAGAGGCAGACGGUAUUCAGUGGGUAGGGGUAAAAUCCUCUGAUCCAUUGAGGACCACCAGUGGCGAAGGCGGUCUGCCAGAACACGUUCGACGGUGAGGGAUGAAAGCUGGGGGAGCAAACCGGAUUAGAUACCCGGGUAGUCCCAGCUGUAAACGAUGCAACUCGGUGAUGCAUUGGCUUAUGGCCAAUGCAGUGCCGCAGGGAAGCCGUUAAGUUUGCCGCCUGGGAAGUACGGACGCAAGUCUGAAACUUAA